rnacentral:lncRNA from 1 species
GUUAAGAAAGUGGCAAAUUUGUUCCAAAUAUCAGGAGAGCGAGAAAGGUUGUCAGAAAUGAAAGUGCUGGAAGCAUCCUAUAAAGGGGGAUGAUCAUUAGAAACAACAUUCCUGAUUCCAGCCUCUGGAUAGUCAAAAGCAGUCCCUUUGGAGAUUGAAACUUCCAAAUGGCAGGAAAUAUUCACACGAGCACUGAACUCUUGAAUUCAAUAAACCUAAUCAGUUUACAUUAUCGAUCAAUCAAGAACUGAUGGGGGGGGAAAGGGUACAAAAAUAGAGGUAUCUUUCAGAAAGAUGUCCAAGUUGAAACUGUUGAAAAAACCCAAAAUCAUAAAUCCAACCUAAUUGAGAGCAUCAGCUUCUUCUUUUUUCUCUCUGCAAAGAAUGUACAUGAUUUCCAAACAAACACAAAUAUGGGACCCAAAAUAGACCAAAAGA